rnacentral:rRNA from 1 species
AUGUAUGCUGGUUCCAACCCCAUCUCAGAGAUGAGGAACUCUGACAUGCGCUGCAUCCGACCACCUGAGCGUCUUUUUCAGGUACUCCAUUUUGGCAGCAAUCUUCUCCUCGCUGUGGAAUGCAACAGCAUGCAUCGCGUGCCUGAACAUCGGAGAUUCCCGGCUCACGCCAAGACCGUCGGCACGAGCCACCAUUGACCGGAUGCAUUCUGGGUUGGCAGUCAGCAGCCAUGGCAUACCAACGCAUAACUUGGCAAUGUCGCGAUCACCUAG